GCCGAGGUAGCUCAGAGGUAGAGCACUGCUCUGAAAAAGCAGGUGUCGACAGUUCGAGUCUGUCCCUCGGCA
rnacentral:tRNA from 4 species